rnacentral:sRNA from 1 species
ACUGUCAUUAUCCCUAAUUGCUUGACUUCUAGAUUACUUUUCAGCACAGAGGCAAGUCACUGGAAAUUUUAUGUGCAUAGUGUACUCUUUUUCCAAAGCUCUAUGUGAACAGAGUUCCAGGACCUAAAAGUUCAACCAUGUUCUGCCCAGCUUAGGGUAGACUAUGCUGUUCUCUCCCUUGGUGCUUAUAUUAUACUUUCCAAAGUUCCUUAGUGUCUAUUCUCCAGCCAAAAUAAACCUUGGUGAUUGUGUGGUGGAGGAUCACCAUUAUUUUUUAAAAGAAGAAAUUAGAGAUUACCUUAGAAAACUUAAGAGACAUGGUUUGUUUCUGGCUUACUUUCAAAUUAUGGUUCACUGAACUUUGUAGGUGACUUUGCCUGGCUUGCUCAUUUAUUCUGUUAUAUACAAUAUCAUCGAUUUCUCACCAAUAUUUUAUUUCCUUCUUGAGUUUCAACAGAAAUUCAAUGUAUCUUUAGUCUGUUAACUUCAGGAGCUCUUUCCCCCCUUCACAUCAGUCUCCCAAUCACAUCAGUCUAGCCAUCCAUCUCUUUCUCCCUUGCCUACAAGCUACUGAAUAGUGUUUUUAACAAUGAUGUGGCUUUUUAAAAUUUUUGUUUUGUUUUCUUCUGUUUUGUCUUUAAAAGAUUUAGCAGUUCUGUUGGUCCUUAGAACCAUAAUGGAAUCUACAUGUGGUUAGUCAGCCCAUAGUUUUGAUUUGGACCCCAUACUCCUUGUUCAUGACCUUUGCACUUGUGAUUUCUCGUCUUAGCUCCUCCACUAUACUAGAAAACUUCACUUUUUGUUAUAUGCAGUCUAGCGUGUGUUCAUGGCCAAAGUUUAGACCCUGUAAAGAUGCAUGCUUUUAUAUUUUUAUUUUGAUUGAUUAUCACCAGUUUGGAGUUUUUUGGCUUACUCUGUUUAAAAUAUGGGGCUCUUGUUACAUUGUAAUCCCUUCCCUUGCCCCUAUUUUACUUUCCUUCACAAGACAUGUGUUUACUAGAAAAAUAUCUCUUGAUUACUCAUUUUAUUAUCUUCCUAUUUCGUACAAAAUCGGAGGUUCAUGGCUGCUUAAAUAUGCAGCUAAAUGUCACCUAAUGAUUGAUAAAUUCUGAGAUAUGUUCAUUAGGCAUCGUAGCGUCUGCUUAUACAACCCUUAGAAGGUAUAUAAACCAUCACGCCCUUAGGUUAUAUAAUACGGCCUGUGACUCUAAGAGUACAAACCUGUACAAUGUCUUUGUAUCCUGCAUAUUGUCAGAAACUGAUAAAAUAUAAGUAUCUAUGCAUUUAAAUUUAUGCUCAAAUGUUUUAUAUAAAAUUAAAAAACAGUACUUUGAAUAGGGCACAUAUCAGAAAUGGAGCUUGGAGGUCCAGAGGCUUUUACGGGUGAGUCGGUCUUAGGUGUUGUUGUUCCCCUAGAUUCCAUCUGUGACUUUGAACUGUAUUUCAUCUAUGGACUGGGUCAUAUACCUCCAGGAAGUUCAUGUUCGUAAUUACUCGUGUGGUAUCUUUUCCUUCACAUUUUAGAUCCUCCUUCCCACUUACGGUGAGUGUCAGCUCAUCCUAUUUGCCCCCAGAGUCAUGUGUAUUUCCUUCUAUUACAGCAUUCUGCACAUUGAGACAUUUAUUCUUUUCAUUUCAUUAAGUCCGUAGCAUUUUGAAGUUAUACCAUUUUUCACUACGUAUUCCCUAAGAUUUGCCACGUGGAAUGUGGUAAUCAGCCCUUACUUUUUCCUCAUAUAUGGGCGUGUGGAUCCUUGCUGGAUGUUAUGAAUGUUAUUCAGGUCUUUUUCAAAUAACCCUUAUCAUUUUCAUUGGCUUGAGAAAUUAUGCCCUGUUCACAAGUCUACAAUAAAGACUGUCAAGCUUUGAACUUUAAGUUAGUGUGUCAGAAUAUCAUAAAACAGUAAGGUGGGAAGAGAAUUAGUAUUUCCCAGCUCUCAGAAGGCACUUCAUUAGCCCUGUUUUUACCAUAUGCUCAGUACUCAGCGCCUUCGGCAUUGCCAACCAUGUCUGAAGUUUGGGGCAUAAAAACGCAAAAUAAAUAGCAAACAGAAAGACUCCAUAAAACUCAGGGAUCUUUGUCUUCAAUUUAUUUCUGGUGUUUCAUUUUGGUAUAUCAUUUAGUGAUUUUCAUCAAUUUCUGAUUUUUUUCUCUGUAGAUAUUCAGUUACCAUCUCAAAGAGCAUCAUCAGUGGUGGAAGAAUAGUGAUUAUAUUAGGUGACAAAGUAGUGUGGGUGAUUAUUGUGAAUACUGAAGGUGACAUUAUUCAUCUGGAAGAUAAACAGAACAAGUCACACAAAAAAUUGUGUUAUACACUUUUUCCAGCUGUACUGUGAUUGGAGUCGUUCUGUAUAUUGUCAGCACAAGCCCCAUUUAGUGCUCAGAGAGGACAUUUGUAUCAACUAUCACAAUGUGAUGAUUGCUACAGCUUGCCCAGAGCAAAACUUGUGGUAAUAAAACCUUCUAGAUUGGAA